UACGUAGGUGGCAAGCGUUGUCCGGAUUUAUUGGGCGUAAAGCGCGCGCAGGCGGUCCUUUAAGUUUGAUGUGAAAUCUUGCGGCUCAACCGCAAGCGGUCAUUGGAAACUGGGGGACUUGAGUACAGAAGAGGAAAGCGGAAUUCCACGUGUAGCGGUGAAAUGCGUAGAGAUGUGGAGGAACACCAGUGGCGAAGGCGGCUUUCUGGUCUGUAACUGACGCUGAGGCGCGAAAGCGUGGGGAGCAAACAGG
rnacentral:rRNA from 1 species